AAGGUCCUACGGGGCGCAGCAGUGAGGAAUAUUGGUCAAUGGACGAAAGUCUGAACCAGCCAUGCCGCGUGCAGGAAGACGGCUCUAUGAGUUGUAAACUGCUUUUGUACAAGGGUAAACCUGAAUACGUGUAUUCAGCUGAAAGUACUGUACGAAUAAGGAUCGGCUAACUCCGUGGCAGCAGCCGCGGUAAUACGGAGGAUCCAAGCGUUAUCCGGAUUUAUUGGGUUUAAAGGGUGCGUAGGCGGAUUGAUAAGUUAGAGGAGAAAUGUCCGGGCUCAACUCGGGAACGGCCUCUAAUACUG
rnacentral:rRNA from 1 species